GUACCUGCAAAUUCAGGUGCCGGGAUUGACCUCCUGAAAUACCACAUACUGGCGACACAUGACGCGCUUGCGUCUUUUUU
rnacentral:sRNA from 1 species